GCUGGGCGCAGUGGCGUGUGCCUGUAAUCCCAGUUACUUGGGAGGCUGAGGCAGGAGAAUCGCUUGAGCCUGGGAGGCGGAGGUUGCAGUGAGCCGAGACUGCGCCAUUGCACUCCAGCCUGGGUGACAGAGUGAGACUCUGUCUCAA
rnacentral:SRP_RNA from 2 species